GGGCUCGUGGUCUAAACUGGAAUGAUGCUUCCAUGGCAUGGAAGAGGCUCCGGGUUCAAAUCCCGGCGAGUCCA
rnacentral:tRNA from 1 species